rnacentral:rRNA from 1 species
GCAAAGAUGGGCGUGCGUCCGAUUAGUUAGUUGGUAAGGUAAAGGCUUACCAAGACAGUGAUCGGUAGGGGGCCUGAGAGGGUGAUCCCCCACACUGGUACUGAGACACGGACCAGACUCCUACGGGAGGCAGCAGUGAGGAAUAUUGGUCAAUGGAGGAAACUCUGAACCAGCCACGCCGCGUGCAGGAAGAAUGCCUUACGGGUUGUAAACUGCUUUUGUUUAGGAAUAAAAAUUCUUACGUGAUAAGGAUUGUGAAUGUACUAUACGAAUAAGUGUCGGCAAACUCCGUGCCAGCAGCCGCGGUAAUACGGAGGACACGAGCGUUAUCCGGAUUUAUUGGGUUUAAAGGGUGCGUAGGCGGUUUAUUAAGUCAGUAGUGAAAUAUUGCAGCUUAACUGUUAAAAUGGCUAUUGAUACUGAUAGACUUGAGUGAGAUUGGAGUAGCUGGAAUGUGUGGUGUAGCGGUGAAAUGCAUAGAUAUCACACAGAACACCGAUCGCGAAAGCAGGUUACUAAGUCUAUACUGACGCUGAGGCACGAAAGCGUGGGGAGCAAACAGGAUUAGAUACCCUGGUAGUCCACGCCGUAAACGAUGAUCACUAGUUGUUGGAUUUAUUUCAGUGACUAAGCGAAAGUGAUAAGUGAUCCACCUGGGGAGUACGGUAACAAGGCUGAAACUCAAAUGAAUUGACGG